AUACUUCAAUUUUUGAAAAAGCUAAAAUCAAAAAACUGAACAUUUGAAAAAUUAGAUUUCAAGCAUAAAUUUGAAGGAAUCCAUAGAAUUCAUUCUCAAAAUUAGUAUAAUUUCAGUUACAUUAGAAAUAAAACACGUUUAAAUAUUCUUUUUUAUAUUUUCGUCAAAAUUUGAACUAAACAAAUUUCGAUAUAAAUCGUAAAAAUCACAGCAUUUCAUACCAUAUUUAAUUAAAC